GGCGACACGCCACACAUUUCACGAUCCGAGGAUUGCCGCACUCGACCCGCGAAAUUUGAAGCGUGAUUGAAACGUCGUCGUCAUCUUCUUUUUCUCAAUUGUUUUUGCUAUAUGCUUCGAGGCUAUUCUGGAUCUCCAGAGCGAAAGCUGGUUGUUUCUGAUACGUACCACGCAUUACCUUAGGUUGAGCCGUGGCUUUUAAUUUUUUUUGGAAGUUCACUGCUUUGGAGACGACGGAAUGUCAAGGUAAGUUAUUCACGAAAUGUACUCAAAUUUGAAUUGAGUCAAUGCGAAUGACACCCUGUUUUCGGAAUAGUUCUCCACUAAACACACCAUGCCCAUGGCCCCUUCAUGUUGUCCAAGUUCCAUUCUAGGUUUGUGUGAAGUUUCGAGAUGAAGUUCGACGAUGUACUCACCUUUCCAUGGAAGGGAAAAAAAGUAGCAUAUCAAACAGAAUCCAUGCAGUAUUUGAUGCCACUAUCCUCAUUCUUCUGCAUUCAAAGUGUUUCACAUCUAUAUGGCCCAUGAACUGCAAACAAUAUUAGUCAUUUCUUAACUGUUCAUAGCUGUUCAUAACUGUUCUGAACACAUUGCCUUCAGGAAACGUAAGGCCGAGUCGCCUCACCGACUGAGCAAAGUUCUCUGCGACGAAAGUCACACUAUCGGCGAAUGCACUCAAGAGCUUCCGAGCCACGCCGAGUCACCUGACCAACUGAAGAAGGUUCUGUGCGACGAAAGUCACACUAUCGGCGAAUGCACUCAAGAGCUUCCGAGCCACGCCGGGCCACCUGAAUUCUCCAAACAAGGCUGAAGGCUUGUCACGGCAUCCUUGCCAAAUAAAGGUAUAAGCUGCAGCAAGUUGUCGUUGCGACACCUUGCUCCUUCCAGCUCACGCCGCACGGCCACCAAGCACCAACCACCAUGGUACUUUUCAG